AGUGAACGCUGGCGGCAUGCCUAAUACAUGCAAGUCGAACGAAGUGGCGGACGGGUGAGUAAUUUAUAGUUAAUCUGCCCUACACAGAGGAACAACAACUAGAAACGACUGCUAAUACCUCAUAGUGCAGUAUGAGAGUAUCUCGUAUCAGCUAGUUGGUAAGGUAAUGGCUUACCACGUCGAUGACGCGUAACUGGUCUGAGAGGAUGAUCAGUCACAUUGGAAGUGAGGCACGGUCCAAACACAUACCGCAGUGAGCAGUAAGGAAUGUUGCGCAUUGGGGGAAAACCUGACGCAGCAACGCGGCGGAAAGUAUGACACUUUUCGGGGCGUAAACUCAUUUUAACAGGAAAGCGGUACCUGCUGAAGAAGCACCGGCUAGCUCCGUGCCAGCAGCCGCGGUAAUAC
rnacentral:rRNA from 1 species